rnacentral:rRNA from 1 species
UACGUAGGGUGCAAGCGUUAAUCGGAAUUACUGGGCGUAAAGCGUGCGCAGGCGGUUGUGCAAGACAGAUGUGAAAUCCCCGGGCUCAACCUGGGAAUUGCAUUUGUGACUGUACGGCUAGAGUGUGUCAGAGGGGGGGUAGAAUUCCACGUGUAGCAGUGAAAUGCGUAGAGAUGUGGAGGAACACCGAUGGCGAAGGCAGCCUCCUGGGCCAACACUGACGCUCAUGCACGAAAGCGUGGGGAGCAAACAGG